rnacentral:snRNA from 1 species
GUGCUUUAUUUUUGGCAGCACAUAUACUAAAAUUGGAAUGAUGCAGAGGAGAGUAACAUGCUCCUGUGCAAAGGACACACAAAUUCGUGAAGUAGUCCAUAUUUUU